UACGUAGGGGGCAAGCGUUAUCCGGAUUUACUGGGUGUAAAGGGAGCGUAGACGGCAGGGCAAGUCUGGAGUGAAAGGCAGGGGCCCAACCCCUGGACUGCUCUGGAAACUGUCCGGCUGGAGUGCAGGAGAGGUAAGUGGAAUUCCUAGUGUAGCGGUGAAAUGCGUAGAUAUUAGGAGGAACACCAGUGGCGAAGGCGGCUUACUGGACUGUAACUGACGUUGAGGCUCGGAAGCGUGGGGAGCAAACAGG
rnacentral:rRNA from 1 species